rnacentral:rRNA from 2 species
AGUCUGAUGGAGCAACGCCGCGUGAGUGAAGAAGGCUUUCGGGUCGUAAAACUCUGUUGUUGGAGAAGAAUGGUCGGCAGAGUAACUGUUGUCGGCGUGACGGUAUCCAACCAGAAAGCCACGGCUAACUACGUGCCAGCAGCCGCGGUAAUACGUAGGUGGCAAGCGUUAUCCGGAUUUAUUGGGCGUAAAGCGAGCGCAGGCGGUUUUUUAAGUCUGAUGUGAAAGCCCUCGGCUUAACCGAGGAAGUGCAUCGGAAACUGGGAAACUUGAGUGCAGAAGAGGACAGUGGAACUCCAUGUGUAGCGGUGAAAUGCGUAGAUAUAUGGAAGAACACCAGUGGCGAAGGCGGCUGUCUGGUCUGUAACUGACGCUGAGGCUCGAAAGCAUGGGUAGCGAACAGGAUUAGAUACCCUGGUAGUCCAUGCCGUAAACGAUGAAUGCUAGGUGUUGGAGGGUUUCCGCCCUUCAGUGCCGCAGCUAACGCAUUAAGCAUUCCGCCUGGGGAUUACGACCGCAAGGUUGAAACUCAAAGGAAUUGACGGGGGCCCGCACAAGCGGUGGAGCAUGUGGUUUAAUUCGAAGCAACGCGAAGAACCUUACCAGGUCUUGACAUCUUU